UACGAAGGGGGCUAGCGUUGUUCGGAUUUACUGGGCGUAAAGCGCACGUAGGCGGACUCUUAAGUCGGUGGUGAAAUCCUGGAGCUCAACUCCAGAACUGCCUUCGAUACUGGGAGUCUCGAGUCCGGGAGAGGUGAGUGGAACUGCGAGUGUAGAGGUGAAAUUCGUAGAUAUUCGCAAGAACACCAGUGGCGAAGGCGGCUCACUGGCCAUGUCCUGACGCUCAGGGGCGAAAGCGUGGGGAGCAAACCGG
rnacentral:rRNA from 1 species